rnacentral:rRNA from 1 species
AACGAACGCUGGCGGCAGGCCUAACACAUGCAAGUCGAGCGAUACCAGCAAUGGUGGAGCGGCAGACGGGUGAGUAACACGUGGGAACGUACCCUUCGGUUCGGAAUAACUCAGGGAAACUUGAGCUAAUACCGGAUACGUCCGAGAGGAGAAAGAUUUAUCGCCGAAGGAUCGGCCCGCGUCUGAUUAGCUAGUUGGUGAGGUAAUGGCUCACCAAGGCGACGAUCAGUAGCUGGUCUGAGAGGAUGAUCAGCCACAUUGGGACGUGAGACACGGCCCAAACUACCUACGGGAGGCAGCAGUGGGGGAAUAUUGGACGAAAUGGGCGGCAAGCCUGAUCCAGCCAUGCCGCGUGAGUGAUGAA